GAGGAACAGUCAAUGGUAUCUCCCAGUCCUUGGUGGCCUUUGCACGUCUACUGGGACCACUCGUAGGAGGGAACCUUUAUGCUUGGACAUCUGGGAAUGGUCUGCCCUGGCCGUUGAACUUCCACCUGGCCUUUUACCUGGCAGUGCUGAUAGACGUCAUCAUCCUGUGUCUGACCCUGAUACUCCCUGAUUCCAUCAACAAACCAAGGGUGGAGGACAUCAGAGAAGAUGCGGAGGAGAAACUCAUAGAUGAUAAAUCAGUCGUGUACAACCCUGCGGAAGAUUUAAAGGCCUCCUUUCAGUUAACUUCUGGCCAAAUCAGCAGUAGAGCCCGUUCCAAAUCACCAAGAGGGUUUUGAAAUAAUAUUUGUGCUGAGCACAGUUACGUUUGCGCGAUUUUAAGUAAACCUAAGAUCUUAGCUAUCCUCCCGCAACUGUUGCAUUGGUCAACUCGGCGAUCCCAACCCUUUUCUUAGUGUUGUGGGCUCUUUUAACAUGGUUGAGGCGUGGUUGUCCUCAAACCAGUACCUCCUUUCAACGUCCUACCCAAGGGAUUCCCGAGACUAUGUACUCCUUUUUUCACCAAAAUAUUAAACUGAUACUGUUUUCUGUAUUA